rnacentral:rRNA from 1 species
UACAUGGGGGUGCAAACGUUGCUCGGAAUUAUUGGGCGUAAAGCGCACGUAGGCGGUUUGUUAAGUCGGAUGUGAAAUCCCUCGGCUCAACUGAGGAAGUGCAUCCGAAACUGGCAAGCUUGAGUACGAAAGAGGGUCGCGGAAUUCCCGGUGUAGAGGUGAAAUUCGUAGAUAUCGGGAGGAACACCGGUGGCGAAGGCGGGUCUCUGGGCCGAUACUGACGCUGAGGAGCGAAAGCGUGGGGAGCGAACAGG